rnacentral:rRNA from 1 species
GGGUUGUGAGAGCAAGAGCCCGGAGAUGGAUUCUGAGACAUGAAUCCAGGCCCUACGGGGUGCAGCAGGCGCGAAAACUUUACAAUGCGGGCAACCGCNAUAAGGGGACCUCGAGUGCUGGGUUACAAACCUGGCUGUUGGGCUGCCUAAAAAGCAGUCGUAAUCCUCGAGGGACCACCAGUGGCGAAGGCGUCUCACCAGAACGGAUCCGACGGCAAGGGACGAAAGCUAGGGGCACGAACCGGAUUAGAUACCCGGGUAGUCCUAGCCGUAAACGAUACUCGCUAGGUGUCGGCACGGUNNGACCGUUGUCGGUGCCGUAGGGAAGCCGUGAAGCGAGCCACCUGGGAAGUUAGGUCAGUAUGCCCCGAAUCCCCCGGGCUACACGCGGGCUACAAUGGUCGGUACAAUGGGUAUCGACCCCGAAAGGGGUAGGCAAUCCCCUAAAACCGAUCGUAGUUCGGAUUGAGGGCUGAAACUCGCCCUCAUGAAGCUGGAAUCCGUAGUAAUCGCGUUUCAACAGAACGCGGUGAAUACGU